rnacentral:rRNA from 1 species
CCUACGGGAGGCAGCAGUGAGGAAUAUUGGUCAAUGGGCGAGAGCCUGAACCAGCCAAGUCGCGUGAAGGAUGAAGGAUCUAUGGUUUGUAAACUUCUUUUAUAUGGGAAUAAAGUGAGGAACGUGUUCCUUUUUGUAUGUACCAUAUGAAUAAGCAUCGGCUAACUCCGUGCCAGCAGCCGCGGUAAUACGGAGGAUGCGAGCGUUAUCCGGAUUUAUUGGGUUUAAAGGGUGCGUAGGUGGUUAAUUAAGUCAGCGGUGAAAGUUUGUGGCUCAACCAUAAAAUUGCCGUUGAAACUGGUUGACUUGAGUAUAUUUGAGGGAGGCGGAAUGCGUGGUGUAGCGGUGAAAUGCAUAGAUAUCACGCAGAACUCCGAUUGCGAAGGCAGCUUACUAAACUAUAACUGACACUGAAGCACGAAAGCGUGGGGAGCAAACAGGAUUAGAUACACCUGUAGUC